rnacentral:misc_RNA from 1 species
GAUGAAGAACGUAGCGAAAUGCGAUAAGUAAUGUGAAUUGCAGAAUUCAGUGAAUCAUCGAAUCUUUGAACGCACCUUGCGCUCCUUGGUAUUCCGAGGAGCAUGCCUGUUUGAGUGUCAUUAAUAUAUCAACCUUCUCUUUUUUGAGUUGUUUGGAUGUGGGGGUUUGCUGGCCACUUAAAUGAUUCAGCUCCCCUGAAAUGCAUUAGCAGAACAACCUGUUCAUUAGCGUGAUAAUUAUCUAUGCUAUUGAAUGUGAGGGCAGUUCAGCUUUCUAACCGUCCUUGGACAAUUCAUCAUUAAUGUGACCUCAAAUCAGGUAGGACUACCCGCUGAACUUAAGCAUAUCAAUAAGCGGAGGA